UCUUGGGUCAAUUAGAGGAAGUAAAAGUCGUAACAAGGUCUCCGUUGGUGAACCAGCGGAGGGAUCAUUACUGAGUUUACGCUCUACAACCCUUUGUGAACAUACCUAUAACUGUUGCUUCGGCGGGUAGGGUCUCCGUGACCCUCCCGGCCUCCCGCCCCCGGGCGGGUCGGCGCCCGCCGGAGGAUAACCAAACUCUGAUUUAACGACGUUUCUUCUGAGUGGUACAAGCAAAUAAUCAAAACUUUUAACAACGGAUCUCUUGGUUCUGGCAUCGAUGAAGAACGCAGCGAAAUGCGAUAAGUAAUGUGAAUUGCAGAAUUCAGUGAAUCAUCGAAUCUUUGAACGCACAUUGCGCCCGCCAGCAUUCUGGCGGGCAUGCCUGUUCGAGCGUCAUUUCAACCCUCAAGCUCUGCUUGGUGUUGGGGCCCUACAGCUGAUGUAGGCCCUCAAAGGUAGUGGCGGACCCUCCCGGAGCCUCCUUUGCGUAGUAACUUUACGUCUCGCACUGGGAUCCGGAGGGACUCUUGCCGUAAAACCCCCAAUUUUCCAAAGGUUGACCUCGGAUCAGGUAGGAAUACCCGCUGAACUUAAGCAUAUCAAA
rnacentral:rRNA from 1 species